rnacentral:rRNA from 1 species
UACGUAGGGUGCAAGCGUUGUCCGGAAUUAUUGGGCGUAAAGAGCUUGUAGGCGGUUUGUCGCGUCUGCUGUGAAAUUUCGGGGCUCAACCCCGAACUUGCAGUGGGUACGGGCAGACUAGAGUGUGGUAGGGGAGACUGGAAUUCCUGGUGUAGCGGUGAAAUGCGCAGAUAUCAGGAGGAACACCAGAGUGCGAAGGCAGGUCUCUGGGCCAUAACUGACGCUGAGAAGCGAAAGCAUGGGGAGCGAACAGG